rnacentral:lncRNA from 1 species
UUCAACCAAUUUUAUUAUGUCACAUCAGUUUGUACAAGAUAAGUUUGUACAAGAGUUUGUGAGUGUAUCAUUACUCAAGGGAUAGAUAUUAUAUUCGUUGAAAUUAUUAUUUAAAAAUUAUAUUUAUCACACAAUAUUAACUUUUAUUUCAUUAUCAUGUAUUUUUUUCCCACAAAACCACAGCCCACAGCACCUCAAUAUAAAAAAGAGUCUUAGUCUAUUUGUAAUUAUGUUUCAAAUAAUAUGUUAAAUGACAUAAUUAGGAGUUCAAUAAUAGGUUAGAUAAAUCAAACACAAUUUCGCCGUUGAAGUGUCAAGUGUUGGGAAAUUGGUGGGUGAAGCAGACACGCAACUAAAGUAAAAUUGGAGGAAAAAUAAAGAACAAGCACAAUAGAGGACAUCGGAAAUUACGUGGUUCGGCUUUUAGCCUACGUCCACGGGCGAAAACAGAAGAACAAUAUUUUACUAGUGAUAUGAGGAUUAUAAGUAUUAUAAUAUUUUGGCUCACUUCCCAGAACCCCAAUACACCCAAUCUCUCACUCACUAGACUCACAAGAGCUUUAUAAUUUUAAGCUUUACAAAACUCUCUGGUUUUCUCUCUCACAGUAUCAGAGAAGAAUUGAAGAAAAU